UGUUGUUAAGGUCAUGUCUCCACUUUUCCAUUGUGUUUGGCUCAUAUAGGUGAAACAGCGCCCCCUGGGUUGCAGCGUAUGUAAAUAACAGUCAUGACGCUAUCACGCCGUGGACGUCAGGUGAAGUUAGCGCCUGUGAUUGCGAACUUUCAGCGGCUGCGAAUUUCUUCGCUUGGCGAGGAAUGAAGGAAAGGAAACUGCGGAAGGAAGGGGUGGAGGGUAAUUCCUGGAAUCGUGCAGAAAAAACAACUUCACAAAGUGGCUGGGAAAAAAAAGCAAAGAAAAAGCAAAGAGAAAGGAGGCUAAAACUGAACUGAACCUGUACCCUGGUGGAAAACGAAGACGUGUCAGAAGUGGACAGGAGAGUUGGACGCCUCGGUUGAAGACGCCAACAUGAGGACAGCGGUCCUCAGACGCCCCCAGCAGGCGACAAAUAACUAAAAGCAGACGGGCCAAUCAGCAACCCCUGCAAUGAGCUGAGUGUCGUGUUGACAGAUUUAAACUGCUGUGUUGCUGUCAUCAUCCUAUUACUCGGAUGAAAAUGUUUGACAUGACGGGAAAACAAAUACAUAUUUAUCACCAUGCCAAGGUGAAACUACGAAAACUCAUUGCUCUGAGCACCUCUCUCCUGUCCCGUUUCGUCUCGUCUCCAGUGUCAUAGUUUUGGUCAGAGCUGCUGCCAAUCACCACUGAAUCCACUGUCUUCAAACUGGCAUCUGUUUUCUCUGAGGCUGUGUUCAGUCCCAGUUUGGCCUCUGGCUGUGUUCACUCUCAGAGCUCUGUGGCCCAUGAUGACUCUAUGGCCGGUGGCUCCACAGCUGACUGAGCCCUGAGCUGAUUAACUGGUA